GAUGAACGCUGGCGGCGUGCCUAAUACAUGCAAGUCGAACGCAUUGUGGUUGAAAUGAUAUGAAGAACUUGUUCAGAUUUGAUUUUCAACAUUGCAAUGAGUGGCGAACGGGUGAGUAACACGUGGGAAACCUACCUCUUAGCAGGGGAUAACAUUUGGAAACAAAUGCUAAUACCGUAUAAUAAUUAAAACCGCAUGGUUUUAGUUUAAAAGAUGGUCUUGCUAUCACUAAGAGAUGGUCCCGCGGUGUAUUAGUUAGUUGGUGAGGUAAUGGCUCACCAAGACAAUGAUACAUAGCCGAGUUGAGAGACUGACCGGCCACAAUGGGACUGAGACACGGCCCAUACUCCUACGGGAGGCAGCAGUAGGGAAGUACUUCCACAAUGGACGAAAGUCUGAUGGAGCAACGCCGCGUGUGUGAUGAAGGGUUUCGGCUCGUAAAACACUGUUGUAAGAGAAGAAUAGACAUUGAGAGUAACUGUUACAAUGUGUGACGGUAU
rnacentral:rRNA from 1 species